AUUGCCGCACUGACUCCAUUGUUAGAGGGUCCUGCACUAGCAAGUCCCAUUGAGGUGGGUUCGAGUGAGAUGGAUUCGAGUGAUAUUAUUAUAUUUUUUAUAUAAUAAAAUUUGAUUCUUUUAUUUGGAUAGCUAUCAUACUAAUGAUUUAUUUAUUACUAUUUCAGGCCAAUCUUCAUCGGUAGUGAGGCAAGAGCGAGGUCCAUCGAAGAACCUCGCUCU
rnacentral:lncRNA from 1 species